rnacentral:rRNA from 1 species
UGGGGAAUUGUUCACAAUGGGCGCAAGCCUGAUGACGCAACGCCGCGUGGGGGAUGAAGGUCUUCGGAUCGUAAACCCCUGUCGAAUGGGACGAAAGACUCGCGAGUGAAUACUUCGCGAGAGUGACGGUACCGUUAAAGGAAGCCACGGCUAACUCUGUGCCAGCAGCCGCGGUAAUACAGAGGUGGCAAGCGUUGUUCGGAUUUACUGGGCGUAAAGGGCGCGUAGGCGGCAUGACAAGUCACUUGUGAAAUCUCUGGGCUUAACCCAGAACGGCCAAGUGAUACUGUCGCGCUAGAGUGCAGAAGGGGCAAUCGGAAUUCUUGGUGUAGCGGUGAAAUGCGUAGAUAUCAAGAGGAACACCUGAGGUGAAGACGGGUUGCUGGGCUGACACUGACGCUGAGGCGCGAAAGCCAGGGGAGCAAACGGGAUUAGAUACCCCAGUAGUCCCUGAGCGGGCUGGCAAGGCGCAU